CGCGUAGGCGGCUUUAUAAGUCGGGGUGAAAGCCUGUGGCUCAACCACAGAAUUGCCUUCGAUACUGUAGAGCUUGAGACCGGAAGAGGUAAGUGGAACUGCGAGUGUAGAGGUGAAAUUCGUAGAUAUUCGCAAGAACACCAGUGGCGAAGGCGGCUUACUGGUCCGGUUCUGACGCUGAGGCGCGAAAGCGUGGGAGCAAACA
rnacentral:rRNA from 1 species